rnacentral:tRNA from 1 species
GGGGACGUCGUCCAAUCUGGUAGGACGGCCGCCUCCAGAGCGGCUAAUCCGGGUUCAAAUCCCGUCGUCCCCA